rnacentral:rRNA from 1 species
UACGUAGGGGGCAAACGUUGUCCGGAAUCAUUGGGCGUAAAGAGCGUGUAGGCGGCCCGGUAAGUCCGCUGUGAAAGUCCAGGGCUCAACCCUGGGAUGCCGGUGGAUACUGUCGGGCUCGAGUCCGGAAGAGGAGUGUGGAAUUCCUGGUGUAGCGGUGAAAUGCGCAGAUAUCAGGAGGAACACCAAUGGCUAAGGCAGCACUCUGGGACGUGACUGACGCUGAGACGCGAAAGCGUGGGGAGCAAACAGG